CCAGAGAACUUAGCAGAGAUGCCUUGGUGCCUUCGGGAACUCUGAGACAGGUGCUGCAUGGCUGUCGUCAGCUCGUGUUGUGAAAUGUUGGGUUAAGUCCCGCAACGAGCGCAACCCUUAUCCUUUGUUGCCAGCGGCUCGGCCGGGAACUCAAAGGAGACUGCCGGUGAUAAACCGGAGGAAGGUGGGGAUGACGUCAAGUCAUCAUGGCCCUUACGGCCAGGGCUACACACGUGCUACAAUGGCGCAUACAAAGAGAAGCGACCUCGCGAGAGCAAGCGGACCUCAUAAAGUGCGUCGUAGUCCGGAUUGGAGUCUGCAACUCGACUCCAUGAAGUCGGAAUCGCUAGUAAUCGUAGAUCAGAAUGCUACGGUGAAUACGUUCCCGGGCCUUGUACACACCGCCCGUCACACCAUGGGAGUGGGUUGCAAAAGAAGUAGGUAGCUUAACCUUCGGGAGGGCGCUUACCACUUUGUGAUUCAUGACUGGGGUGAAGUCGUAACAAGGUAAGCGUAGCGAG
rnacentral:rRNA from 1 species